rnacentral:tRNA from 1 species
AUCGAGAUCUCAGCUUCUUCAUAAGCUCCCACACGAAUUGCUUGAUUCACUGGUUAGACGAUUGGGUCUGUAGCUCAGUUGGUUAGAGCGCACCCCUGAUAAGGGUGAGGUCGGCAGUUCGAAUCUGCCCAGACCCACCAAUUGUUGGUGUGCUGCGUGAUCCGAUACGGGGCCAUAGCUCAGCUGGGAGAGCGCCUGCUUUGCACGCAGGAGGUCAGGAGUUCGAUCCUCCUUGGCUCCACCAUCUAAAACAAUCGUCGAAAGCUCAGAAAUGAAUGUUCGUAGAUGAACAUUGAUUUCUGGUCUUUGCACCAGAACUGUUCUUUAAAAAUUCGGGUAUGUGAUAGAAGUAAGACUGAAUGAUCUCUUUCACUGGUGAUCAUUCAAGUCAAGGUAAAAUUUGCGAGUUCAAGCGCGAAUUUUCGGCGAAUGUCGUCUUCACAGUAUAACCAGAUUGCUUGGGG